rfam:Scardovia wiggsiae F0424 genomic scaffold supercont1.1, whole genome shotgun sequence.
AAAAGAAACCUCUCACAACGGAUCGUUAGGCACGUACCUGCCUAUGAAAGGAAAGUUAU